rnacentral:rRNA from 1 species
GAGUCCGAGAGAGGAUGAUGGAUUCCUGGUGUAACGGUGAAAUGUCCAGAUAUCAGGAAGAACACCGGUGGCGAAGACGGUCAUCUGGCUCGGUACUGACGCUGAGGCACGAAAGCUAGGGUAUCAAACGGGAUUAGAUACCCCGGUAGUCCUAGCCGUAAACGAUGUCCACUAGGUGUCGGAGGUUCUACCCCUUCGGUGCCGCAGCUAACGCAUUAAGUGGACCACCUGGGGAGUACGCUCGCAAGGGUGAAGCUCAAAGGAAUUGACGGGGGCCCGCACAAGCGGUGGAGCAUGUGGUUUAAUUCGAUGCAACGCGAAGAACCUUACCUGGGCUUGACAUGCAGGGGACAGGUGUAGAGAUACACCCUUCUUCGGACUCCUGUACAGGUGCUGCAUGGCUGUCGUCAGCUCGUGUCGUGAAAUGUUGGGUUAAGUCCCGCAACGAGCGCAACCCUUGUCCUUAGUUGCCAGCACGUCAUGGUGGGAACUCUAGGGAGACUGCCGGUGACAAACCGGAGGAAGGUGGGGACGACGUCAAGUCAUCAUGGCCCUUACGUCCAGGGCUACACACGUGCUACAAUGGCACAUACAGAGGGCCGCGAACCCGCGAGGGGGAGCCAAUCCCAAAAAGUGUGCCUCAGUUCGGAUCGCAGUCUGCAACUCGACUGCGUGAAGUCGGAAUCGCUAGUAAUCGCGGAUCAGCACCCCGCGGUGAUCCGUUCCCGGGCAUUGACACACCGCCCGUCAAGUCAACCGAAUUGGUGCACCCGAAGUCGU